GAUGAACGCUAGCGGCAGGCUUAACACAUGCAAGUCGAGGGGUAUAGUUCUUCGGAGCUAGAGACCGGCGCACGGGUGCGUAACGCGUAUGCAAUCUACCUUUUGCAGAGGGAUAGCCCAGAGAAAUUUGGAUUAAUACCUCAUAGUAUGUGAGAAUGGCAUCAUUUUCACAUUAAAGUCACAACGGCAAAAGAUGAGCAUGCGUCCCAUUAGCUUGUUGGUAAGGUAACGGCUUACCAAGGCAACGAUGGGUAGGGGUCCUGAGAGGGAGAUCCCCCACACUGGUACUGAGACACGGACCAGACUCCUACGGGAGGCAGCAGUGAGGAAUAUCGGACAAUGGGCGCAAGCCUGAUCCAGCCAUGCCGCGUGCAGGAUGACGGUCCUAUGGAUUGUAAACUGCUUUUGUACAGGAAGAAACACUGGUUCGUGAACCAGCUUGACGGUACUGUAAGAAUAAGGAUCGGCUAACUCCGUGCCAGCCGCCGCAGUAAGAC
rnacentral:rRNA from 1 species